rnacentral:misc_RNA from 1 species
GGGAAUUUUGUAGCCUGUUUCUCCCUGUUUUCUGGUUUGGGACAAGAGAUAAUGAUGGUAAAAGUUCCCAAUAAUGCCUAACAGAAACAAACCAAUCCCAAUGUUUUUAAGAUCAAUGGGUGGCUCUGGAAUCCCUUGUGAAAGGUGCUGGGUGUAUAUCAUGAUUGCUGUGGACAUGAAGUAGCUGAGGGAGAUUUUGAUUGCUGUCUCCAAUACCAUUUUACUGCUGUAUUUGUGAAUAAGCAGUACCUCAAAGAUCCUCUUGAAGAAAUGGAGAGUGAGAGCAGAUUUAAGCAGAAGAAUCCUCUCAUCCCCGCUCGGAAAGAGCCAAAACGACGCCGCACCAGCAAGAAACGCCGGAGUAUAAGCCAAGAGCAUUCCGUAUUUGGACGAAAGCUUAGUUUCUUCCGAUGAAUGUUUCGGAACACUAUUCGCAUUCCAGAACUUGGAAUACUGCAAAUGCUUACCGUUAAUCUCGGAAAUUCCAGCCAUGGCCAUCGCGGUCGAGCUUACUACCGUCAUCACGUUCACGAACGUGGAAGGAGGCGGAGGGAAGAGAAACGCCGACAAAACGUCCAUCGCUGCCG